GACGAACGCUGGCGGCGUGCUUAACACAUGCAAGUCGAACGAUGAAGCGGGUGCUUGCACUCGUGGAUUAGUGGCGAACGGGCGAGUAACACGUGAGUAACCUGUCCUUUUCUUUGGGAUAACGGCUGGAAACGGCUGCUAAUACUGGAUAUUCAGGCUGCAUCGCAUGGUGUGGUUUGGAAAGGUUUUUUCUGGGAUUGGGUGGGCUCGCGGCCUAUCAGCUUGUUGGUGGGGUGAUGGCUUACCAAGGCUUUGACGGGUAGCCGGCCUGAGAGGGUGGUCGGUCGCACUGGGACUGGGAUACGGCCCAGACUCCUACGGGAGGCAGCAGUGGGGAAUAUUGCACAAUGGACGAAAGUUUGAUGCAGCGACGCCGCGUGGAGGGUGUAGGCCUUCGGGUUGUGAACUCCUUUUUCUCGCGAAAAAGGCACAGGUGUGGCUGUGUUGAUGGUAGUGGGGGAAGAAGCGCCGGCUAACUACGUG
rnacentral:rRNA from 1 species